UUCACUCUGUUUCAAUGUACGUGACCAAUAAAGUUGAUCUUUAAAUCUUUCUCAUUGAGGUAACUAAUUGCUGGCACUGUGUCUAACUUUACUGCUAGAGAUUCAAGGUCAUAUUGGAUGAGUGAGAUCCUGGUGAUUUAAGUCCGUCCUUUCAAAGCUGAAAUAGAUAGAUGUUUAGUUUGGACAACAGUGGAAUCUGGGCAUAGAAGGUUUCACUUCCCUGGAGUAAUCUGAGAUGGUUCACAGCCUUCUUCCUCAGUUUCAAUAAACUCGACUAGUUCACACUAUCUUGUGAAAGCUGCGUUAUACGUUCCUGAGUGAUGAGAUCGGAGGUGAGAGCCAAUUUCGCCAGCUCUCUGCGAUCUUCACUCCUCUCUCCAGGGCGCCAGACCGUUCUGUUGUUUGGUCAGUUUAAAUCCCAGCCCAGAUAGACUGAAAAGACAAUGUGUCAGUUGGGACGAGAGCCAAUUUCGCUCGUUCUCCACAAUGGUCUUCAGCAUGGUGCUGAGGCUAUGAAGAGUGGCCCAGCUGCUGUGCUCCGUGCUCCCUAACAUGAUGAACUGAUAAGUGAGGCUUUGGGCCUACUCUGGGCUGCUCCGGGUUCAGAUGUGAGGACUCAAUUUUGAUUUGGAAUGCUCCUGUUGUUCACUUCAAUCGUUUGCAUGAUUUGUUUUUUUUUUCUGUUGCACAUCAAGCAUUGGCCUUUUUUUUAUUUUCAUUCUUUUUUGUCUUUAAUUGGGUUUUUCAGGUUUCUUGCUUUGUGGCUGCCUGUGAGCAAGCAAAUCUCAAGAACAUAACACCUACGAUGCUGCUGCAAGUUAGUUCUCAGUGCACCUGUGUCUACUUGUACUUGUGCAUAUGAAAAUAACCAUGACUUUGAACAGGUAGAUGGGGUUUUAAGUUCGUUCAAAAAUAAAGCAAAAGAAAAUAUCCACAGCACCAAAGGCUAGAAAUCAAGAAAAUUAAUCCCUUGCCCUUGUAUGCCUUGACUAGAAUGUACACCCAGCAUUGAGCUGAAGCUGACUGCAGAUGAAAGAGAAGAAAACUUGCCAGAAACGCUAAUGUAAUGUCACCUUGGUCAGUUUAAGCACUACCAUUACCAUGAAGCUACAAUGGGCUAACACAGAACAGUUCAGUUGUUGACUGGAUCUAUCUGCUGCAUGUGCCUUAGUAAUACAUCACAUCAAAUCAUAUGUCUUCUGAGACAUCUGUAGGAGUGUCUCUUCACUACUGCAACUGAAAUGCUCUGUGGAAUACUUGGAUUGUUCCGUACUUUUG